ensembl:lncRNA
CCGGAGAGUGAACUUUUCACCCCUACUUCAGCCCGGGCUUGUCGGACUAAGGCCAAAACUAAAGCCGGAAAUGAUAUGCCACUUGCUAAAGCCUAAAGGGAUAUUUUAAAACAGAAAGCAACAUUUUUAAACAUUCCUUAAACACAUUUGAAUAACAAGCAGAUCUAAGAAAAGAAAGUUAGAAUAUAUGAAAAGAGUAGAAACUCUAAGGAUCAAAAUAAUAAAACAAAAAGCUUGGAAACGGGAGUGGGUACACAGACUCCCAGAGAGCAGGAAGCUAAGUCAAAGGAGAAGGAGAUGCUGCAGAAGAGACCAUCGGCUCUUCCCAACCUGCAGCUCAAUAAAAAAUGAAAAGUCAAGAUUUCUAUUCCAGAUCAACUGAGAAUUGUCUUUUGAGGGCAGCUUUAGGGUCUUAUACCAGAAGGUAUUCCCAGAAAGCACCUUUCCAGGGCCAAUACUAAAAUAGUCAUUUUAAAGUAUUUAAAUAGGAUUAGACAACUCUAGGCUAAAUGAAGUUAAAAAGCACAAUAAAGAGUGGAGCACAGAACUGUGUUUCUACCUUUGCAGCUCCACCCAAGUAGAGAGACGAGAAUGUGUCGACAGGUUUAGAAAUAGAACACCUCAUCCCUCUCUGCAGCCAUGGAGGCAGCAGCGUUCUAAAGCCCCAUCACAGCCCUGGAAUCAACGUUCCCUGGAGGGCAACUUGUGUAGGGAUGUCCUGCGGCUGGCUCUAGGAGCUUGGGCUUGAAGCAGGCUAUAAUCAACUACUUAUCAAACAGAAUUAAGUUAGAAGAGAUGUUAUUUAAAAUAAAACAAACAAAAAUCUAAAAAUAACUAGGCUCCAUGGAAUCCACAGGACAAAACGCACCUGGAGAAGCAAUACAGUUCAUACGAGCAGAGGAAUGACUUGUGGCCUAUCGGGCAUAAAAAGAGAGAGAAGAGCUGACUGUGCAGGUAAGAUGGAGGAAAGGGAGCAAAGCCAAGAGGCUAUAGCAGGUGCAUUAAAAAGAGAUGAACACACAAGAAGCACGAAUUUGUAGUAUAUUUGCCAGUUACUGAUCCUUAACUCAUAGGUGUUCACAAAGUGCAAAAAAACACAUACCACAUUAAAGAAAAUGACAAGCUACUUGCAAGUCUGAUGAAAAUAGAGCAAGAGAACAGGAGUACUGGAAGCUACCAUUUACUGAAAAGGCUCUUUAAAAUUCACUAUUGCUAAUCCUUACAAUAAUUCUGCAAGGUAAAUGGUAUCUCUUGCAGACCUUUUAUAUAAAAUGAUACCUUUUAUAGACGAAGAAACAGACCAUCAUUGAUGCUAAGAAAAGUCCUCAGGGGCACACAGGAAUAAGUAAGUGGCAGAGCCAAGAUCUAACCCAAGGCAUUCUCACUUCAAAAUGUCUUUUCAUUAAGCUUACUGACUCUCAAAAAGUAUACUUAAAUGAAAAUCAAUUAAGUGAGACACAGAAAAGAAUUUCCUCCAUUUAAACAGACUAGAAUGGGUUGAGCUCUGGAGGUGUAAACUACCAAUGACAAUCUCCUGGUUUUGAUCACUGUACUACAGUUACUGAGAUAUUAUCCUGGGGGGGAAGGGUACAUGGGAACUCUUAUUUUUGCAUUGUUUUGCAACCUAAAAUUAUUUUAAAAUAAAAAGUUUUGUUGUUUUUAUUUUAAUAAUAGGAAUGAACUUUUUGGAAGGUUACCUAGCCUCCUCUUCCUUUGGGGAGAUAUAUAUAUAUUUUAAAAGGCUAAUUCUCAGCUGUCUGCAGUGACCUAAAUACCACAAGAAAUAAAGUAAUAUUGAAUCUCUUCCACUCCCAUUCAACUUCAAUAAACUUUCAUUAACUACGUAUUACCACAUGGUACCAUACUAUUUUGUCUAUACAAAAAUAUAAGUACUAUCCAGUACUCCCACACUCAAGGUUUUUCCUUUUUUAUCUUUGUCUACCAUGUUUAUAUACAGGAACCAGGGAAACAGACUUACCAUUUAUAUCUAAAGUGAACAUCAUGAGAAUAAAAUGUCUAGCUAACAUUAAAGAGAAUGUUCGACAAAAUUUACUUUUUUUCCUAAGAAUUAUUGAGCCACAUUUUUCCAGUAUAUAAGACAAACCAUUUAUUGAGCACCUUCUGUGUCAUUAAAUUCAUUUACUAUCACAGCAAUGUUAUAAAGUAAAAAUUAAUAUGCCCAUUUUACAUAUAUAAGGAAAGCCAGACAAACUAAUUUUCAGAAGUCAUGAAAGUAUUCAGUGGUAAAAUGAGGAUUCAAACUCAGAUCUAGCUACCUCUAAGAUGAUACACCUUGCUCUAUCUUUGCGGCUCCACACUGUCAUUUCUAUCUUAAAAAGCAUCUCCUAUAUUAUUUACUAACUAAACCUUAAUAGCAAAAUAUCCAUUUUAAGCACAUUCACACGUUAAAAAAAAAAACUCAAUGUUCAUUCCUGGCUCCUAUUUGAAGUUAAAGUUUGUUAGCGAAGCUGAAGAAAAAUCUUAGAAGUAUGAAAGAAAUGCAAGUGGUAUUCCAAGUAACAAUAUGUGUGCAGUCGAGUGGGAAACAUGAGAAGAGCAUCUGCCAACUUCAUUUUGGCCUCGUUUGAUGCUAUCUCACUGAUCUGGGUCCAACUUACAUUUAUGUCUCCCUCUUUCCCUCCCCCAUUUCCUCUUCACUCCAGCAGCAUACAAAAAUCACAGCAAAGAAGCUGGACAGAGUUUCUAAGAAUGCACUGAAAACAUUAUCAAAUAAGGGAAUGGCUAUCUAGUCCAAGCAUAACCUUAUUUCAACUAAGAAAAAUCUCAAACACUAAAACAAAUCUUUAUGGGAUCAUAAAUAACCAGAAACAAAAUUAUCUAAAUAUCGACUCUAAAGACAAAUAGAUUUUUGGAGAGAAAUGCUCAAAAGAACUAACUAAAAAUGUCCUUUAAUCUGUACUUAUACACAGGGUGUUAUAACUUAGUAUGAGUCAACCUCUAAGUUGGAUGUACUUUUUAAUUCAAACUUUUUUUAAGUCUUUAAUUAGGUUUAAUUCUACUUUCAGCUUUUGUUCCCCAGCCCUGAUCCCCAUCUGUUCAACCCUGGUGCUAAGGAACCUCAGAUUUCCGAUACUUGUAAUUCAGCACCAUCGGGACCGACCUUUAGUUUUGAAGGUGCACAAUGUCAUGACACUUCCCUUGACUUCCAUCCACAUUUGGAAUUUUUUUUAGUCCAGUAUAUGUAACUGGUAAUAUUUUGAAAAAGAAACAGUUCUCCAUCAGUUACAUUUUCCAAAAAGGUCCAAGUAAAAAUGGCUAGUUGAUUUUUAUUUUUAAAGUCACUCAACGGUUUGCUCCUAAUGGUGACAUUGUAUGGUAUCCUUAGCUCUUUCCUUCCAACUUCUUGGUAAACCGAGGGACUAGAUUGCAUUAGUACAAUAGUAAAGAAAAAGUAAUAUUCUAGAAAACCAAACAUAUAAGCUGAAAAAAUCUUGGCUUCUUUCUCAGACCACUAAGUAUCAGCUAACAAAUAGUACCAAUGAGGAUUUCCAUUCUGAUGUUCAGGGGCUCAGGUAAUAAUACUAUGAAUACUAAUCUACAAGUCUCCUAUCCACCUUCCCCUCCCCCUACAAAAAAGACAGGAGCAAAUGGUGUCAGGCAUCAUGUAUUAAUCCUGGGAGAUACCGUAGGAAAUGACAUUUUAGUACCCUCUCUAACACGUUCACACUCUAACGGAGGCGAUAAAGUUAACAGACAAUUGUAAUUCAGUGUGAUGAGGGAUGUUACAAGGAUAAGCACAGGAUGCUAUGGAAAUAUAGAGGAGGCAUUUUUAACACAAUCCGAAGAGGGCAGGCAUUGGGGAUGUUCAGGAGAGUUUCUGAGAAAUAAGAUGUCCGAAAGAGACUAAAACAUAAGUAACCACUUUGCAUCCACUAGGAUGGCUGUAAUAAAAAAGACUGAUAGUAACAAGUGUUGGGGAGGGAUCUGGAAAAAUCGGAACCCUCGUAUCUCACUGGUGGGAAUAUAAACUGGUGCAGGCACUUUGAAAAACAUUUUGACAGUUGCUUAAAAUGUUAAGCAUAGAAUUACCCUACGAGCCAGCAAUUUUCACUCCUAGAUGUAUACCCAAGAGAACUGAAAACAUAUGUCCACACAAACUUGUACACAAAUAUAUACAGCAGUAUUAUUCAAAAUAGGCAAAAUGUGGAAACAACUCAAAUGUCCAUCAAUUGACAAAUGGAUAAAUAAAAAGUGGUACAUUCCAAAAGCGAAUACAAUUUAGUCAUGAAAGAAGAAUGCAGUAUUGAUACAUGCUUAAAAAAAAUGUAUGAACACAGAUAAACCUUUAAAAACAUGAUGCUAAGUGAAAGAAGCCAGACACAAAAGGCCAAAGAUUGUAUGGUUCCAUUUAUAUGAAAUUUUCAGAAUAAUCAGAUUCAUGCAGACAGAAGGCAGAUUAGCAGCUGCCAGGGGCUGGGGGGAGGGGGAAUGGAGAGAGACUGCUAAUGGGUAUGAUGGGGUUGGUUUCUGUGGCGACAAUAAUAUUCUGGAAUUAGAUCACCGUGAUAGUUUUGCCACUUUGUAAAUAUACUAGAGUCCUAAAUUAUAUAGGUCGAAAUGGAGAAUUUUAAGACAUAUGAGUUAUAUCUCAAUCAAAAAGACAGAAAAAAAGAUUUAAGAGUGAGCAGGAAUGGUAGAUGGUAAAGAGAAGUGGGUACUGAUGUGGGUUCUGGAGCAUGGGAAGAAGGCAUGAGUGCGACUGAGGGAGUGGCUUGGCUCCCAUUCACGGCAAAGACACGGAGGGUAAGUGCAGUUUAAUUGGGUGGGCGUGGAGACAGAAGGGGAGGGAGUUGAUGUCUCAAGUCUCUCUUCGGCAAGUUGGCAGGGUAGGAAGUUGGAAAUGAAGGAAGGAAGGAAGGUUAGAACAACCUCUACAGAGAACAGGAGAGAGAAAUGACUGGAAAAUAAGUUGAUUAUUGGAAGUUUCCCACACUUUUUUGUUUGUUUGUUUAAUCAACAUCCAGGUUUAACUACAAAACAACAUACUUAGGCACAAAAUGAACAGGAGGUCUCAGAAGAUAUUUUCUCCUCUGUCAAACCUUCUGGAUCCUUCGACUAGAGUGUGAGGGGCUCAAAGCUCACCUCCUGCUGUUUUCAGCAAUGUCUGAAUCCUUUUUUAGUCUUUCCUAUUUGCUUUAUCAGUUGCUUCAGUCCCAUAGCAAGCUGCUUCUUGGCAUUUGUCAUUUCCUCUUAUUUUACAAUAUUAUUUCAACAACUAGGUAUUGCAGAACUCAAAAAUUGAUAUGAAGAUGAUUUUUAUGACGCUUUUCAUAACCU